CUGAGUAAAAAUACCAGCACUGUGAUCAUCAGAGCAAGUCCAUCAGGUGACAUUCUUUUUCACCUCUGUCUCCUUUCACUUUGAAGGUUCCCAUGUUUGAGGAAGCAUUUGGUGUUGCUGUGCAAAGUGUUGCUGCAGUGGAGGUUCAAGGUUACUGUUUAUUGAUAUGGAUCCCAUCAUACUUUGUUCAUUGUUUGUUCAGGAGUUUGCCCUAAGUCUCCGUGUUUGAGGGCCUAUUCUGUGGAUAUAUUUAUUUGCACUUUUAUUGAUGCAGUAAAUAAAUAGUCUAUGAAAAAAAUCACUAAAUCUGUCAUUUAUUCAUUUUAAUAUAUUCAUCAAUGAUCAUGUCUCACCUCUAUUCCGUAUUAAUCCCUGUCCUAAUUUCAGGAUCCCAUCAUACGUUGUACAUUGUUCAGGAGGUUAACUAGACCAUGCAGCCUUUUGAUAUCCGCUAAGUACUGUAUAGAAUAUUGGGACUGGAAGGAUGGUGUAUGUUUAAGUUUAUGUUUAAGUAUAUAUACACCAACAAGACAGUGUGAAAGCAUUGUCACAAGAAAGUUUGUUUUCAUUCAUAGGCUUAAUUGUCUUUCCAUCAAUACCUGGUGGGCCAGUCUCGGCUCAAAAUGCCCGGGCCGAUUUUUUGUC